rnacentral:rRNA from 1 species
UUAAGCGACUAAGCGUACACGGUGGAUGCCCUGGCAGUCAGAGGCGAUGAAGGACGUGCUAAUCUGCGAUAAGCGUCGGUAAGGUGAUAUGAACCGUUAUAACCGGCGAUUUCCGAAUGGGGAAACCCAGUGUGUUUCGACACACUAUCAUUAACUGAAUCCAUAGGUUAAUGAGGCGAACCGGGGGAACUGAAACAUCUAAGUACCCCGAGGAAAAGAAAUCAACCGAGAUUCCCCCAGUAGCGGCGAGCGAACGGGGAGCAGCCCAGAGCCUGAAUCAGUGUGUGUGUUAGUGGAAGCGUCUGGAAAGGCGCGCGAUACAGGGUGACAGCCCCGUACACAAAAAUGCACAUACUGUGAGCUCGAUGAGUAGGGCGGGACACGUGGUAUCCUGUCUGAAUAUGGGGGGACCAUCCUCCAAGGCUAAAUACUCCUGACUGACCGAUAGUGAACCAGUACCGUGAGGGAAAGGCGAAAAGAACCCCGGCGAGGGGAGUGAAAAAGAACCUGAAACCGUGUACGUACAAGCAGUGGGAGCCUCUUUAUGGGGUGACUGCGUACCUUUUGUAUAAUGGGUCAGCGACUUAUAUUCUGUAGCAAGGUUAACCGAAUAGGGGAGCCGAAGGGAAACCGAGUCUUAACUGGGCGUUAAGUUGCAGGGUAUAGACCCGAAACCCGGUGAUCUAGCCAUGGGCAGGUUGAAGGUUGGGUAACACUAACUGGAGGACCGAACCGACUAAUGUUGAAAAAUUAGCGGAUGACUUGUGGCUGGGGGUGAAAGGCCAAUCAAACCGGGAGAUAGCUGGUUCUCCCCGAAAGCUAUUUAGGUAGCGCCUCGUGAAUUCAUCUCCGGGGGUAGAGCACUGUUUCGGCAAGGGGGUCAUCCCGACUUACCAACCCGAUGCAAACUGCGAAUACCGGAGAAUGUUAUCACGGGAGACACACGGCGGGUGCUAACGUCCGUCGUGAAGAGGGAAACAACCCAGACCGCCAGCUAAGGUCCCAAAGUCAUGGUUAAGUGGGAAACGAUGUGGGAAGGCCCAGACAGCCAGGAUGUUGGCUUAGAAGCAGCCAUCAUUUAAAGAAAGCGUAAUAGCUCACUGGUCGAGUCGGCCUGCGCGGAAGAUGUAACGGGGCUAAACCAUGCACCGAAGCUGCGGCAGCGACACUAUGUGUUGUUGGGUAGGGGAGCGUUCUGUAAGCCUGUGAAGGUGUACUGUGAGGUAUGCUGGAGGUAUCAGAAGUGCGAAUGCUGACAUAAGUAACGAUAAAGCGGGUGAAAAGCCCGCUCGCCGGAAGACCAAGGGUUCCUGUCCAACGUUAAUCGGGGCAGGGUGAGUCGACCCCUAAGGCGAGGCCGAAAGGCGUAGUCGAUGGGAAACAGGUUAAUAUUCCUGUACUUGGUGUUACUGCGAAGGGGGGACGGAGAAGGCUAUGUUGGCCGGGCGACGGUUGUCCCGGUUUAAGCGUGUAGGCUGGUUUUCCAGGCAAAUCCGGAAAAUCAAGGCUGAGGCGUGAUGACGAGGCACUACGGUGCUGAAGCAACAAAUGCCCUGCUUCCAGGAAAAGCCUCUAAGCAUCAGGUAACAUCAAAUCGUACCCCAAACCGACACAGGUGGUCAGGUAGAGAAUACCAAGGCGCUUGAGAGAACUCGGGUGAAGGAACUAGGCAAAAUGGUGCCGUAACUUCGGGAGAAGGCACGCUGAUAUGUAGGUGAAGCGACUUGCUCGUGGAGCUGAAAUCAGUCGAAGAUACCAGCUGGCUGCAACUGUUUAUUAAAAACACAGCACUGUGCAAACACGAAAGUGGACGUAUACGGUGUGACGCCUGCCCGGUGCCGGAAGGUUAAUUGAUGGGGUUAGCGCAAGCGAAGCUCUUGAUCGAAGCCCCGGUAAACGGCGGCCGUAACUAUAACGGUCCUAAGGUAGCGAAAUUCCUUGUCGGGUAAGUUCCGACCUGCACGAAUGGCGUAAUGAUGGCCAGGCUGUCUCCACCCGAGACUCAGUGAAAUUGAACUCGCUGUGAAGAUGCAGUGUACCCGCGGCAAGACGGAAAGACCCCGUGAACCUUUACUAUAGCUUGACACUGAACAUUGAGCCUUGAUGUGUAGGAUAGGUGGGAGGCUUUGAAGUGUGGACGCCAGUCUGCAUGGAGCCGACCUUGAAAUACCACCCUUUAAUGUUUGAUGUUCUAACGUUGACCCGUAAUCCGGGUUGCGGACAGUGUCUGGUGGGUAGUUUGACUGGGGCGGUCUCCUCCUAAAGAGUAACGGAGGAGCACGAAGGUUGGCUAAUCCUGGUCGGACAUCAGGAGGUUAGUGCAAUGGCAUAAGCCAGCUUGACUGCGAGCGUGACGGCGCGAGCAGGUGCGAAAGCAGGUCAUAGUGAUCCGGUGGUUCUGAAUGGAAGGGCCAUCGCUCAACGGAUAAAAGGUACUCCGGGGAUAACAGGCUGAUACCGCCCAAGAGUUCAUAUCGACGGCGGUGUUUGGCACCUCGAUGUCGGCUCAUCACAUCCUGGGGCUGAAGUAGGUCCCAAGGGUAUGGCUGUUCGCCAUUUAAAGUGGUACGCGAGCUGGGUUUAGAACGUCGUGAGACAGUUCGGUCCCUAUCUGCCGUGGGCGCUGGAGAACUGAGGGGGGCUGCUCCUAGUACGAGAGGACCGGAGUGGACGCAUCACUGGUGUUCGGGUUGUCAUGCCAAUGGCACUGCCCGGUAGCUAAAUGCGGAAGAGAUAAGUGCUGAAAGCAUCUAAGCACGAAACUUGCCCCGAGAUGAGUUCUCCCUGACUCCUUGAGAGUCCUGAAGGAACGUUGAAGACGACGACGUUGAUAGGCCGGGUGUGUAAGCGCAGCGAUGCGUUGAGCUAACCGGUACUAAUGAACCGUGAGGCUUAACCUU